UUUUAUCGGCGUGUCACGGCGUAGAUCUCUGGCUUCUGACUGAGGAGUAGGGAGUGUCCCCGCAUCACCUUCCUGUCAGUGGUUAACGAUAUCCUGAAAUCUUGUGGCGUCUAUCUCCUUCCUCUGAUGCUUCCAUUGGACGCCAGCACAUUUUUUUGCAUCUCUAUUAUGCUCGAGGCAAUUUAGCCACGAGCGUGUCUAAUGCACGAGCGGUUAGUCGUCGUAUGUACGUCGUUACGUUGCGUUGAAUCGUCGACGAAACAGUCCGUAACUGUUACUUCCCUACGCUGGUCGAGGUUGUAACUCGUAGACGUCUUCCGUCUGCUGUACCUCUGCCGUCGUGGCUACAGCGCAUCCCAGCGAUCGGUGUAGCGGGUUCGUUUUCGUCCUGUAUCUCCCAUGUCGGUGUGGGAUUAGGGCGUCGUUAUCCUGUGACCAUUCCAGCAGAGAAGUUACGACAGGCGGUUAGCUGAAUCCAAGUCCAUCCAAGAGCCGAAUCUAACGACGUCUGUCACUUGUUGGUUUUAGUUGCAUCCUUUCUUCUAUUGUGGCAUCGCUGUCUUGGUCGUAUGGUGCGUAGUUACUAGUCGUAGGGUCGUAACUUGCAAGUUGGAGAAUCUGUAUGUUUCUUCGCUGCUAAACUCAUGUUGAAUGCGUCUUUGGACAACCAGUUCGUACAUACUUUGUACACGUAUUGUACAAGAUGAGUGUGGAAACCAAUACGAACAAAUUGGAAUUGACGUUUUCCAAAUUAAGGAAUACGAUUAUCAUUGAUGUUUGUUUGUGCAGGAUACUGUCCUACGGAUAAGUGGAACUUAUAUAUUAUAAUAUAUUUAGUAAAUAUAUUACUAGAGUGUGCUACAGAUGACUCGUAGUUUAAUAAAAAUUGUUAUUCUAGGAAUCUGUAGCGCUGUAAAGCGCAAGGUGGUCAGCUUAGGUGGUCGCUGGUCUAAUUGGAUUGCGUUUAGACGAAAAUUUUCGCGUCCUAAAAUGCAAUCAGAAAAAUCCCGAAGAUUCACUUAAAUGUUUUAUUUAAACAUUGUUUAUACUAUGAAGAUUGGGGGAAAGAGAAAGAGAGAGAAAGACAUCUCAAAUUUUCAUAUUGUAGAAAUAAGGUAACUUUGGAAAGAAUUGAUGGAAUUAUGAAGCACUUACAUUGGAAACGAUAAGAUAAACAUAAGCUAAUUUGUCGUCGCGUGUACAACUAUGUUUAGAGAUUUUAUCUCGACAUAAAGAAGACACACAGUAUUAAAAAGUAUUCCCUGUUAAUAAUGCUUAUUAAUCGCUUUUAAUUGAUUUUUAAUUCAUGUUUACGCGGGAUUAAUUUCAUCAUAGCUCCUUCGAAUUGCAACAUCUCCGCCGGUUGUUCUAAUGUAGACUGUAAUUUCAACAAUAACUAUAUUCUUUACUUUCGAAAACAAAUCAAAAUUUUGAUUUAUCCGUAUUUCGAGCUGUGCAAUUGGCAUAAACAAGUUUACGUAAAAAUCGAUAAAUAUCCACAAGAAAUAUUAAAUAAGAAAAUUGCCAAUUUGUAAUAUAUUAUUCGAACAAAUGGACUUUUUAACAAUCAGUUUAUACGGUCAUAUUCCCCGUUCAAAAAUACGCUCGAAGUGUUCAUCCGGAGUAUUGAUACAGUGAACUGUAAAUACCGUAAAUACUCUGGCUUUCAUUCUACACUUUCACCGUGGAGGAAUCAUCUGCGGUGAUCGUGCAAUGUGAAACGGUGUAAAUUCGGUUUAUACACAAGUCACAUCGGCAGUUUUAUUUGUCGGAGCUGAUUGGUGCGUGGAAACACUUGCGAGAAAGCAAGUAUCGACAACGAAAGUGUCGGUAAACCAACCUCUGGCGAUAGAGUAGGAGGUGUCCCUGCAAUUUCAUAGAAACGCUUCUUCCAGGUAUCUGUUUUAGACCAACACGAGUACGAACGAAUAAUUACAACAAAUUAUUUUGUUCCCUGUAUGCAACCUUGAAGAUCUAGUAAUAACCAAUAAUAGAGCAAAAACAAGGUUAAAGAAGAAAAAAAAGGCGUUCGUGCACCUGGUCACGAGUGAUCACGUAAUCGCUUAUCUGUGCGCAAAGUAACGCGCGAGCAGUGGAAAUAAAUCGAGUGGACUAAACGCGAGACAAAACACGACGUUACAAUUUCUGGUGUUCGAGGUACCCAGCUCACGUUGCGAUCUAUGAAAUUUUAAAGCGGAAAGCUUGCAGAUGUACAAGGUUAAUCGGAUUGAAUAACUUUCCGGCAAUUUCCACGGUGUAAUCUUAACCUUGGUCUUGUUUGCGUUUUAAUUGCUUGAAAAAUAGGGAAAUAACGUGUCAGCGAUGAAUGUACACGUCUCCCACAACGUAGCUUAUUUGUGUCGUUAUUUAUGUCUUUUUUACGCUUGGUUACGUUAAUUAUAAAUACUGCGCGGAGAAUGACCUUAUCUCGUAGUUUUUCUUGCAGAAAGAUCCCGCGAUAAAAGGUUUUCCGUUCGAACAUGAGAAUUUCGAUCAAAUCGUUAACCUACUGGCUAGUCGCUAGUUAUCCACAUUUUUGUUUAACUUUCACACAGAAACAAGUGUCAUCUUAACAAAAGCGAAGAGUACGGUGCUUUUCGUUUUAUUCACAAGUUUUACAAUUGAUUCGGUUAAUCACAUGUAUCGCGGAGUCUUCGACGUUUGUUGUAUUUAAAAAAAUAUCUUGACGAUUUAUGCAAUUGUUGAUAGCAGCUGACGAGCAGUGAGUUUCAAGUGUUCCAGGCCACACUGGGCGAAGUUUUGAGCAACCAGACACUGGUCGUCGUUCGCAGCUAAAUAAGAAAGAAUGGAAACGUGUGAAAGAACUGGUACUGGUGCGAAAAGUCACGUUAUCAUUUGUCCGAUUAACGUACCAUCCUUGGCACAUUGGUGUACAUUAUUGCGAACGAUCUCCUUGUUCUCACCGUCAGGCAAUAUAUUGUCGAGCAGUUCGUCGAUCUUCUGUGUGUUAAUAACGUUGCCAUUCAUCUAAAACAGAUGCAAUAUUGUAGACAAUGCUAGUAAGUAUACAUAUCGAAAAAUGUCACUUUCGACGGAUGAGAAAGGUAACUUAAAGUAAAGAAUUAAUUUUCAUUAUUUCUACAAUUUUAUAACUUUAAUACAGAAUAUUUUCGCUGAUCGAAAAUUUUCUGCAUCACAGUUUUCCAAAAUCCGUACUGUGUUGUGCCGCAAAUAUCUUCUUACAUUUAUUGAUAUUCUAUAUUUAGUUUUUAAAAUACAAUUAUUCACUGUACAUAAAUUAAUUAUUAUAUUAUCGUAAGGGAUCUGAUAUACUAACACGUACUGUUGUACUAGCGGUAUAUUAAUUUUGUAUGUUAUUUGAGCUUGCUUCUUUUUAUUAUACUCUUCGUCGGUAGGAACCUAAGUUGCAUUUGUUCGAUAAAUUCUCCAUGCUCGACUAUGCUAAGUAGAAUGAGACUUUACGUACCAGACCCAUCUUCUGCAUCACACAGGCUUCGAGGCAUCCACGUUUUCUCGCUACCUCAGGGCUGUUGUCGUGAGCUAAACUUGGGAGAUCGGCUAUCGAAGAAGUAUUUUCCUUAUUAUUUAUUUUUGUUUCGAGCCAUCUAUUUAAUUUUGUUUUUUUCAAUGGAAAAUAUUUACGUUGAAACGUAAACAGUACUCGUUUCACUGGUUCCAAUUUAUUAUUGAUAAAAUCGUAUGGCACCAUGAAAUAUGUUAAAACGUAUCUAUAUUGCUUUUUAACGAGUUUCUACUUACCGAUGGUAAGAUCCAUUUGUUUCAAGCACGUGUCUGAUAUCUCACUGGCAGUAACCUAAAAUUACGAAAAUGAAAAAUAUUAAAUUUUCGAAUGUAGUUAAGAGAAACGAUGGAUUCUGUGAUAUUAUCGAAAUUCAAUUUUACAGCAUCGUCUACGUCUUCUCUUCUCUACGUUUAGCGUAAUCGAGCUUCAGCCACGGAAACUUUAAACCGGUCAAAGACAUACCCCGCAACAUACGAAGUAAAGUACACAGAAAAGAGCGGCGACAGUCUUCAUGCUUGCGUUUUUCGUGAUAUUGAUAUGCAAAGUGUUUGCGGAAGAAGAGCACGUACUUAAACAAUACUUUCGAUAUGCGAAAGGAACUUAUUCGACUGGUUAGUCAGCGUUUCGCCUUGCUAUUUAUACCUCAUAGGUGAAUAAGAAGUAGAAGAUUGAUCGUCGUUGAUAAUGGGUUUACGUAAUUUAAUUUCCCGGAAACAUAGUAAACAUUUACGAGUUUAUGAGGUGAAUUAUCUAUGAUUACGAUAGAUAUGUAUAGUAAUAAUUUUUAUAUGUAUUUGCAGUUCGUUAAGAUACAUAUUUUCAUCGAUCGCAUAUUUUCAUCCAUCUUUUAUUCAUUAGAGACGUUUCAAUUUGAAUUGGUAAAACAGAAGCUUUUCAAGAAGACUAAAUUUGAUUGAAAAUCAAUUCUAUUACCUGUAAGCUAGGCAGAGAAAGAUUAUUGGGAGAUGUUUCGUAUUUGACAGGAAUAUAGGUAAUUUGUCUUUUGCUGAUACCUAACUCUGAAUUAUGCCAAUCGAUUUGAAUCUUUUUUUUUUACGAGUAAAAUUUUCGUGGAAAUCGUCGUCUAUUUGCAGCAUAAUUUUACGACUCACAACAUGCACACGGAUGAUAUUCAACGAAAUAUUCAUUGUGCCAUCGAUAGGGGAAUGAGACAGAGAAAAAAACUUAUCAACGUAUAACAUGUGAUCGUCCACUUUGUCUUAAGGAGCAAGUUGCAAAAACGAAUCCACUCUUACAAAUGUCGUCCUGUUCUUGCGCUGAAACAAUGAAAUAGAUGUUUAUGAAGAUAAUACGCUGAUAUUAUCGACGACAGUUACGUGCUUUUAAUAACCGUAAAAAUAACAAAUUCCGAUACUAGCCUACGUUUUGUCUGAUUCGAUAGCUCUAACAUCAGAAACUACCUUGAAAUAUAAUUUUCAUUUCGGAAAGGGAACAACGAAAGAGAAUAUCAGGCUUAAAUAUUGACUUUAUCGAUAUCUAUUAAUCGUAAAUGGUCACCCGAGUUAAGAUCAGAGGCGAAAAUUAAAUCAAAAGGUUUUAUUCGAAAUGUAUACACAAUAUACGUAUCUGAAAUAUAUUGCAAAGGCAUCAAAAUACUUGUGAGCGUUAGUGUACGUCAUGUACGACUUCUAAUCUGUGAAAGAGAGUAGGAAAAUGUUAUCUAAGUAUGUAAUUUGUAAAUAAUCGUAGCUUAUUCUUUGUAGUUCCUCGAAUAGUUUAUUCUGUUUAUAUUUAUUUCGCACGUUAAACGCUGUUGAUUAAGAAUUCUAAUAACGUGGAUGUUACUUUCUAUUUGCUAUUUAAUAUCGAUUACGUGGAAUCAAAAUUUCAUUUGAACCGUAAAUUCCUAGGAAUUCUUCAUUUACUUUCCACGACACUCUGUUCUCAUUAUAUGUUUCUAUCUGAUUAUAUAAUUUCAAAUACUAUUGAUAACAGCAAAUGACUGUUCGAAUAUAUUAUCUGUGACCGACAUUUAAAGAAAAUAUUUCCAGGAAAAAGACAUUAACGUUAUUUUUCAGGUCGAUAGUUUACGAUUUCAUCGGUCGCUAUAUUAGAUUUUGUAAUAACUGGCGCUAUAGAUUGAGUUUCAUACUUUGACGACAAAUUCAAACUUACCCAUUUUGCAACAUUCGUUCAAUGUUUGAUUCGUUGCUAUGGGGAAAUUAUUGCGUUCCGCCGUUUCUAAUAAAUAUUCGAAUCGAAUAUUCUUGUCUUCAACCUGCAAACAUUAUGGAAUAAUAAAAUUUUUGAAAUAUCGACAAGUCGUUAGAUAAUUAAAGAAUUAAACGAUAAUCAACGUUUACCAUGUGAGCUUUGUCCAGAACGCAUAUAAUGAAACAACCAGAGUCCAACAUGACGUCUUCCAGGUUUUCGCGUGUUAUAUUUUUCGCUUGGAAAAUGACGUCCAACUUUAUCAAAUCCGCUAUACUCGUUGGUAAAAUCAUUAGGAAUGACAAAUAUCAAAUAUAUAUUAUUUUUGUGGACAUGAAUUAUAAUAAUUUCUCUCUUUUCUAAUCUUUUAAACAGAAUCGUACUCGAAUUUUAUUUACUUGUUAUUACUUAAUAAUUUACCACGUAUAUGUUUACAUUGGCAAUAUCUUUUGGAAUAGAAAUGAGAAUUAUGAAGGAAAAUGUAAAAUCCAGAAUUUUCUAAGGAAUUAAAAAAAAAGAAAAGAAUCGCGAAAUUAUAUACAAUAAAUUAUUUAGAAGCAAAUUAUUAGUUAUGUUAUAAUACAUACUGUCAGUUAAAUUGCUCUGGUGCAAACAUUGCCGUAUAUCCUUUAUAUCAAUGUUUAACAUUUUCGUGAGUUGUAUUAGAUUGCUUGCUCGGGCGAGUAUCUGUAGUAGAUGGUAAUUACUUCAAUCGUAAUAAUUGAUUAUUUUUUAACGUAGAGUGCAUAGAAGUAUCAUGCUAAUUACAAAACUUUUUGGGUCCGGUUAAUAUACAGAUCAUUUAAUAUCCAGUUAAUAUCAGAUACACCUAUCAUGCUCUCAAAUGUUUAACAUUUCAAUGUAUUAUAUGUUACAAAUUAAUCCUGUAUUGCAUAAAAAAUUGCAAUGCUGUUCAUGCCAACGCUAUACAAAUAUUAGUGUAACAAAAUAUUUUCGUUUCGUAUUUUAACAUUAUAAGUUUAUUUAUGCGAAGAGAUCUUCUUUCAUAGUUGCAAAGAAACUUACUAAAGAAAGAGAAAGAGAAAGCAGUAAAAAGCAAUCGAAAAUAAUUUAUUCAAAUAUUACGUAAUUACAUCGACGAACUUUACAAAUCUAAAAUUGUAGAAAUUUUCAAUUAUUUAUAUAUUAUUAUAUAAUUAUUUUACCUACACAAAAAUAGACGUUGUUGCGUGUACUUACGUUUGCGGAAAGAACGUGGACAAGAAUCGCGAGAUAUCCUUUCAUCUUUCCAAACGAUUACGAUCUUUUAAAAUCACUGUCACGAUGUCAACGAGAAAUUCAGAAGCUGUUUCUGCGAAAAAGUAUGCAAACUGCGCGACUGCAAAGCAUCUCUGCUUAUAUUUAUCGUCGACCAUGAAAACGGUGUCCCAGUUGACAAACAUAUCGGAUUUUAACCAAAAUUGUUUUAUGUGUACGUGUAAAAAGUGAGUUAGUCAGCGAAAAUGAAACAACGACAUUCGAGGCAAUAAAGAACGACGAGAGAAAGAACGGAGUGGUUUUAAACAAUGAUAUAAUUUUAGUUACUUCAACGGGAUGCAGAUAAAAGAGGAGAAAGCUGCAUGGUUUUAUCCAAGACGAAGAGAAAAAUGAAAAUAAGGAAAGAAAGACGCAAAGAUGGGGAUAAUUUUGAUACUACUGCUUCGAAUAUUCUGUACUCUUCCAAAUAAGAACAUUAUUUACGUAUCAAAAUAAUAUCCAUCGUUCCAUCGUCACCGAAUUGUUCUGAAAUUUUUAAAGAUCGAAGGAAAGAUUCUAAUACUAUUAAAAUUUUAUUUUAUCUCCGAUUAAUCGUCGCGUAAUUCUCAAAGAAAGAGCUUGGAAAGUGGACCAAGAUCGUUUAAACUAAUUGUAAGAUACUAACUCUCGCACUGUUACUAUUUUAAUUUCACUGAUAAUUAUCGUUACCCCAGAUUUUAAUGAAAAAGAUAUCUUGCACUUAAAAUAUUCGGUGAACUUUCGUCUUUCCUGGAGUCGUGGUUGCUCGGCUUUUCCAAGAGCGAUCCAUGGUGUUUCAUUAAUAAGAAUGAGAUUAAACGAAGCCGAUUCGGGGCAUCGUUACUCACGCAAACACCACGGCGGUGGCGGCGGUUGGCUUAUGAAUAAACACUGCGGAGUUAACGCGUUAUGAAUAAUUAACCUGCACUCGAGACACGAACGCUGUGUGCAUUUCAACGUGGAACAGGUCAAUGUUUUACGACCACCCGGUAUACAUACGAUCGCGUGAAUGUAUGCUUUCGGGAUAUUUCACGGUGAAAACUGAUGCAUUGUGAUCGUGUAUGGAAAUUUUUCAUCUUGAAAGCAACGAGAGGUUUUAUUUGUUUUUUCUCUUCUUCCUUUCUUUCUCCUUUCGCGAUCUUUUACUACAUAAAAGAGAUUAAAAAGGUGUAGACACACGAAUACAGAAUUUCUGAAUUUUUUAAUUACGUACAAACUGAGUCCGUGAGUCCGUUAUUUAUUAUUUUCCAUCUUAUUUUUCUGUAACUCGAAUAUCUCGAUGUUAAUAGUCAUUUUCUAUUACGUAUUUUGGUUUGUGUUUGUUACUGUAUUAAAAUAUUUUAGGAAUCGUGCUAUACAGUCUAAUUAUUAUAUUUUCACAAUAUUUCAUUUCUACAUAUUUCACAUUGAUUUAAUGGAUUUUUAAUUCGUAGCUUCCUUUCUCAAGAGACAGAUACAACAAAAGGAUGAAAUAGAUUCGUAACAUUAGUUCCCUAUCAUCCCAUGAAGCGUAAUCUGGGAAUUUAAAGAAUAUUUCAUUGUAUCUUUAGGAAAGUAAACGUAUUAAAUAUCAAAAGCAUAUCAUUCUUUUCUCGCUGUCGUUCUUCAUAAUCCACGAGGUUGUCCAUGCUUGACUCACAGCAUGCUGUGUAGUGAACGACGAGCAACGAUCGCGUUAGCGUAAGCGACUCACGUUGUGAGGCGGUAUAAUGUAGCCCGUAAUGGUCGAAGUUGGCUGGCAUACAGGAUGGAAUAAAGUUACGACGACCUUACGCGACAGCGAAGACACGACACGGAGACACUUUUGCAAAUGGUCGGCUUUACGACCGAUUACAGACGUCGGAUACGUUUUCGAUGGAAUCGCGGAUUCGGCUCCGGACCCAGGUGGAAUAUUAAGUCAGAAAUGUAAAUUUCUUGUUCGAAUAUCGGAUGUCCGUGCCUCGCGAUCAUCGACCGAUAGAUCGAUCAUGAAUCGCGAAAUAUCGCCAACUAUCGGUUAAACGAAGAAAUUAUUGAUGACGCGUGCACUGGUUCGCGAAAGUAGAGUCGAAUGCUUAUCACAGGGAAGUUCGAUGUGCACAUCGUACGCGUGGUAAAAUAUUUUGAAAUUUCUUAAAUUGAAUAAAUUUGUAAGCUAGAAGAGCGGCUACGUAGAGAAGAUUUAAUCGGCGAGACGAUUUUUAUUACGGAAGGCUCGUUUAUUAUUCGGCUGCAUCACUAACGAUAAAAAGAAUUGACACGCGACACCGAUGGUUCGAUUAAUAUUUAUGAAGUUAGAGAAGGAUGCACCACGAGCUGUAUCUCUUACAUCAUUUUAUUAAACGUACUACACGUGGUAAUUCGAACGAUUACAACUUCAUAGCCUUCGACGAAUGAUAUUUGGUCGACUGUCUUAUUAGUUGAACAACUUCUCUAUGUAACAGUCUACGUAUUUGUUACCGAUGUUGCACUCGUCUGUUUCUCCUUUGGCUAUAACAAAGCAAGUAGUUCGAGUUAAUAAAUAUGGAGAGCAAAUGUGUACGAACAUUAUAGAUAAUAACAAUUUCUCAGCAUUUAAGAAGCUCUGUUCGCGUUGUCAUUUUGAAUAUAGCGUCUGUUUGAUACUUUAAAAUUAUAUUUUUAAACAUCAAGGAUAGCCGCUCAGGGUCGCUAAUUUGUUUGUUCACGAUGCUCAGA